UUUGUUUAUGAACACUAAUUGAGUCAUUUGUUCUUCAUACUAGGUAAUCAGUUGAAAAACAAUGAAACUGAUUUUGAUUUAGAAAAGUGGAAUAUAUCAAUAUUGAUUCUCUGGUAGGGCAUUUAUAACUUUUGAGAGAUUGAUCACUUUCAUUUUUGAAUAUGAUUUUAUUUGUAGCAUUGGAACUUAGUAAUUGUUUCUUGGAAACAUAAAAUUAACGUUCGUUCCUCCUUGACUUCAUAUUCCCCUCCCAAAAAAUUUAAAAUAAAAUAAAAAUGAAACAAGAGUCUGAAAUCAGAGACGGUGAACCGAAAUCAUCUCUUGGGAAGCUGCAAGGGCAGAUUAAGUUGGUGGUGGUGGUGGUGGUGGUGGUGGUGGUGGUGACAAUAAUUGGAAUUCAUGUAAAUAAUUUUUGUUCUCCAGAUUCAUCCGCUGUGUUUACUUUAUUUUUGGUGUUUUGGGGAAUUUCCCUAUUGCUCUUUUUAAUUUCCAGAGAAAGCACAGCUCGGAGGAGU
rnacentral:lncRNA from 1 species